rnacentral:lncRNA from 1 species
GCGGGCAGGGAGCGGCGCGAGGGAGCGAGGCGUGCUCGGGAGAUGAAUCAGGAGUUCAGUGGAGAGGAUUAAACGCGAGCGGGCACGAGGCCAGCCCAGAAGCUUGGAGACCCGCAGUUGUUUACACCGACCUUUUAAUACCUUCUUAGCCAGAAAUAGAAGCAGAGGGAGAUGGAGAGAAAAGGUGUAUCAGACCAUUUGCUCCUCCAACGGCAGUUUCGAUAGUUUCUUUCAUGUUCUCUGUAUGUUUAGACUUUAAUUUUAACUAAUGUUCUAAAGCUUUGACCUGUCUGGCUCACCUAAUAUUAAAAAUCAAUCCCCAAAGUAGCUGAAGACUCGAAGGAACAGCUCGAAAGAAUCAAAUGAACCAGUACCUGCAGAACAAUAGACAGUGCGACUCUAUUAACCUGUAGGUGAAACACAUUAAGGCAUUAAAUUUGAAACCUGGAACUUAGCCAACUUAGGCUUGACUCUUGGCCCUACCACUUCAGUAUCUCCUGGGAGAUUCUUCAACGUCUCCUAAUCUGUUUCCUUGGGUAUAAGGAUGAAUAACAAUACCAGUCUAGAAUCACGAAUGAAGAUGGAAUGAGACAUUGCCUAGCACAUUGUGAGAGCUGUAUAAACGUUAGCUUCAUUCUCAAGUGUCCUUGAGGGCUAGCAACCCCCACUUGACUCUCAGGGGAAAGACGUUUGUAUUUUCUCCUAAAUACAGCGUGUUUCUUGACUCUAUAGCAACUUUCUUUAAAAGUAAUCCGCCGACGCGUUUAUUAAACUACAUAGUAUUAACUCUAAUGGAGUCAAUGAUAACCAGUGAGCUAUUAUAAAGAAGAGUAUUAGGAGAUUUAAGCAAACGGAUGCAAAAUAUUUCAGCGCAGUUUUAGGGAUUACUCAUUCCUGUUUUUCACUAACAUAUGAUUGCGAUCAUUUACCAAUACAUUGCGCAUACGGAAAAUUACAUUUAAUUAUGGUAUUGGUUAGGUGGGUUAGUCUGUAACUUAAAGGUAAAAUAUAUUGACAGGAUAAAAUGAAGGCUUUGAAACUAUGCAAAGCGGGAAAACGAGGCCAAGCAAAAAACGGAAUUACCAUAAUUCAUGGUCAGAAGAUUCAUUAGAACGCAUUUGCCUUCGAGAAUUAGAUUCUCUGCAGAGAGGAGGUAAAAGCCAGUUCUCGAGAAAUUAACAGUGGCGAGAACAGCGGAGAACGGUGUUAAACCAUCUUGAUAGGCAGAAGGCUCAGAAAGCCUUAAAAUAACCUUCACCGAAGAGACGAUUUUCUUUUUACCCUCCCUGCCUCCUACAAUUAAUGCCAUUUAAUGCAUCGUCGAUCUUUUAAAGGGGAAAAUAUGCCAUACAGCAGCUCCCCAUACAUAACUGACGCACCACACAUGUUUCAAGACUGUGUGCAAACGUUUCAAAUGUCACUCCACCUCACUCCGGUUCCAAAACCUAAAAAUCACUUUCCAGCCACUCGCGCGCGUCCGCGAUUCACGAAGGCCAGGACCUCGAGGCGGGGGCUAACGGGAAGCACACGCAGUCCGCACGCGCCUGUAAAUCAGCAGUUUCAGUGCUCACGCCGAGAAGUAACUAGCUAUUUAUGACUUAUUUCUAAUUUAAAACCGAGCGAUUUCAAAAAGGGACUCGAGACGAUUUUCACGUCUACAACCAGGCAGUCGUCGACAAGUUUCUACAGUCCACUUCACGGACUCCCCGCACCACGCCAGGCCCUGCACGCCCCGCAUCGCGCCUGGAUCCACACAGCCUAAAUGGCCGACCGCUUUGAGAAGCGGCGGCGCGAACGACUUUUCUACUGUAGAUCGCCGGGGCCGCUAGAGCGACCAACCAAUGGCCGCCUUCUCUCGUCCUUCUCGUCCCGCCUUCCGGUUCCACUUAAGCCAAUAGAAAGCGCAACCUGGAGACAGACACCAAUGAGAGAUCGAGGGCGGGCACCAUUGGCUGCGGUCGCCCCGCAGUGCAGUCUGGGUCUUUGCCUCCGUUACCGUGGAGCCGAGGUAGCCGCGCC